rnacentral:rRNA from 1 species
GUGUCAGCAGCCGCGGUAAUACGGAGGAUCCUAGCGUUAUCCGGAUUCAUUGGGUUUAAAGGGUGCGUAGGCGGAAUAGUAAGUCAGUGGUGAAAGCCUACAGCUUAACUGUAGAAUUGCCAUUGAUACUGCUAAUCUAGAGUACAUUUGAAGUGGGCGGAAUGUGUCGUGUAGCGGUGAAAUGCUUAGAUAUGACACAGAACACCUAUUGCGAAGGCAGCUCACUAAACUGUAACUGACGCUGAGGCACGAAAGCAUGGGGAGCAAACAGGAUUAGAAACCCCUGUAGUCC